rnacentral:piRNA from 1 species
UGUGGGUGAUUGAAGACAGGUGAAGU